GGGCAAUUUGGGCUGUCACUAGCUGCCUUGGACAGGGCACUUUCCUUCCUGGGACCUCAGCUAGAAAACAUGGGUGUUGAGCUCCAUCAGGACUUCACACCUGCUGGUGUGAACCUCACUAGUCAUCAGGUUCUCCAGGAAAGCCUUAAACAAAUAUCCCUUCCCAAUAAGAAAAAGACCAACCACCCAAUGAGAAAUGGGCAAAGGGCAGAACAGGUAUUUCACAGGCAAAUAAAAAAAAAUGGCCAGAUGGCCAGAUAAAGAGAUGCUCAGAAAGAUAGUAGAAGGCCAGGGGCAGUGGCUCAU
rnacentral:lncRNA from 1 species